GACGAACGCUGGCGGCGUGCCUAACACAUGCAAGUGGAGCGACGAACCAGGGCUUGCCCUGGGGCCAAGCCGCGAACGGGUGAGUAACACGUGGGUAACCUGCCCCGAUGACCGGGACAACCCGAGGAAACUCGGGCUAAUACCGGAUGUGGUGGACACACUUAAGUGUGUCCACUAAAGGAAGCUUCGGCCUCCGCAUUGGGAUGGGCCCGCGGCCCAUUAGCUAGUUGGUGGGGUAAAGGCCUACCAAGGCAACGAUGGGUAGCUGGUCUGAGAGGACGAUCAGCCACACUGGGACUGAGACACGGCCCAGACUCCUACGGGAGGCAGCAGUGGGGAAUCUUGCGCAAUGCGCGAAAGCGUGACGCAGCAACGCCGCGUGAGGGAAGACGG
rnacentral:rRNA from 1 species